rnacentral:lncRNA from 1 species
AUUGAUCAACCCCCCAUAGCCCAGCAAAUUUUUGGUUGGAGCGGAAGGCAACCGGGUUAACCGGUUCAGCUUGAUGGUUCUUAUAUAUGGAAAGCCCUCUGUCAGAAGAGGUAAAUUAACAUGGUCUGAUUCUUGUUGGGUAUUUCAAGGUCGAAUUUCUAGCGUGGACAACAUACGCUUAUAUUGCCUGGAGCCGCCAACUUUGAAGGCAGAUGGAAAUAAUCACGAGGCUUUCUUCUUUUUACGUUUCCUGCCGCAAGCUAUCUGCAGCAGGGUUCCUUGUAAAAUAUAUGCAAUGUGUCUUGUCUUCUGCGGAUCACAAUAUAUCUGUUUUUUUAGCAGUAGUUUUUGUAUUGUAUUGUCAAGCCUUUUGUGGACCUUAUCUAAUGGCCAGAACUUUAGUCUCUAGAAGCAAAUGUUAAGAUCUAUGCAUCAGAUACCAUGACUAGUUAUUGCUAAUCGCUAAGCUGCCAGCUCGCGGCGUGUAAACCAUCUCUGCUCUGUUGGCUUUUACAUACUUUUUGCUAUACAUUGCUUCUGAGUUAAAAACCAAGAAUAAGUUUGUUGAGUGGCUCAGGGUGGUGUUUUGCCAAAAUAAAUAAAUAAAUAAGACAAGCAAAAGACACAAUGCUCCACCGCCCGAACAGAAUUUACUACUACUAGUCUACUUGUUUUUCAGUGGGGUUUGCGAACACCUAAGUUUCUAUCUGUUACAAUGGUUGGAUUAUGUUCAGUUUGUUUGAUGAUAGUUAAGAGUUAGAAAUACACUCGAAAACUCUCAACUGGCUGACGAGAAGGGCUGCAAAGAACAAGCAUCUAACAUAAACAGAUACAACGGAAUACAACUUCCAUAUUACUCGGGGAGAUACAACCAAAAAUUAGGUUUUUCAAAAGCAUCUUGGUACAUUAGAAACUUAGCACACAUUCAGUAAGUUCGGGUAGGUAACUUCUAAAUUCUGCCAAACAUAUUGAUGCGAUGCGACAGAAACAGCUAGAACUGCACCAGCCCGUUACUUCACCUGUCCUGGAGAAAGCAAAAACGUCAAUCCAUCAGUAACCUGAUUGGCAUUGCUAAUGCAUAGCCUCCAACUUAUUGAUGUUUAUAAUAACAAAAUGGACUAUUAAUGUAUAGCUCUAGAAAUCAUCAACCCAGAUUUCUACAUUUUCAACUUGUAGCAGCCAUUAUGACUGAUGUUUAUAACAACAAAAUGGAAUAGUAAUUCAUUGAUUUUGAAACAGCUAAACCAACGAGAACUCUAGCAAUGCCCAGAUAGGCACACAUAGUUUCGACAUCCACAUGAUAUUCAACAUCUGGAUAUCAUUUACAGUUUAACGAGAGUCAUUUUAUUUUUGGCAUCACCGUCAUUUUAGUUGACGUGUAUGUUAUUCACAUGUGUGAACCCCUAUAGCCAAAUUGACAAUAUUUUGGGAGUGCAUGUUAUCCAUGUUGGCAGCCAGAUAUUUCCCAUAGAGAAAAAACUGAAUGGUCCAUAUCUCUUAAGCUAUAUCGAGAAGAUAUUCUUACAUGUUGACCCAUUUCAGCAUUAGCACAUCAAAAUAGAUAAUCAUCCAAUGUGUUGUGCAGCGUUUUCAGCUCCAUUAGAUCCACCAGCAAUGGCUAUGCCUAUUUAAGAAGGUAAACGGAAGUUGUUAUCAUUGACUAAAAAAUCAAGAUUAAAAAACAGUUAAACAGAAAGAAGUAUCGGAUAAAAAAAAUACAACUAGUUUGAGAUUCCACACAUGCCAACUAAGUGGCAUUUGAUUUUGCAUUUUUACUCGUUUGACAUUUGAUAUGGAUCUUCCAAGAAUAAAGACAACUAGUGAUAACACAAAAUAAAAUAAAGCCAUGAGUUAAUUUUGUCCAUCUAUCAAAGGGACGAUUGUUGAUUAAGCUUAACUUGUUACCGACUUAAGAGACAUGCUCACCUGGUGGAUGAUUUGGAAGGAGAGGAACUCUCUGUGUAUUUGAUAACAAUUAACAAAGCCAUCGGUGCGACUCAGCUCGCAGACAAGAUUCUGCAAGAACUGAGAUGUUGGCAUCAGGGCAAGAUCGGAGCUAUAGCCCCAUUCUUCAUCCAUGAGCCUCCCUGAACUGUAUUCUCUGCAUUCUUGUUUCUUCUUGUUUCUUUCACUUUCGUUGCUCUGGUCGUUUGCCCAUAUGUUUAUAGUCCCUCCGUUCCAGUAUCUCCCAUGCACUCUGUAUGGCUCUGCCAGUUCUCUUAAUGAAUGAAAAGUAGCACUCGCUACAUUUUGUCAACAAAAAAAAAAGAGAUUUGACAUGACCACAACCAUAUCACCCGGGGAAGCUGAAAUCCCCUCUAUUAACACGGUUACAUUCGAAACUUUGGUAGACUAGCACCAUUCAGCAAGUUUGUUUAGAUAUUUUAUAAAUUUUGUCGAACACAUUGAUGUGAUGCGAUGAACUCAGCGAGAACUGCAGCAGCCGCUCCUUCACCUGGAGAAAGCAAAAAUACCAAUCCAUUAGUAACCUGAUAGGCACUACUAAUAUAUAGCCUCCAACUUACUGAUGUUUAUAUAAUAAAAGGAAAGAAAAUGGACUACUAAUGUAUAGCUGGAAAAACCAAAACCGUCAAUCCAGAUUCUGCACUCCCAACUUGCAGUAGCCGCCUAUGGCUGCUGUUUAUAGAAGAAAAUAGCCCAACGGAAUAUCGAUUUGAAACGGCUAAGCCAAGGAGAACUUGUAUGAAUGCCCACAUAGGCACACACACAUGUAAUUCAACAUCCAC